AGAGUUUGAUCAUGGCUCAGAACGAACGCUGGCGGCAUGGAUUAGGCAUGCAAGUCGAACGAAGCAGCAAUGCUUAGUGGCGGAAGGGUGAGGAACGCGUGAGCAACCUGCCCCCAAGUUGGGAAUAACAGUUGGAAACGACUGCUAAUACCGAAUGUGGCUUUUUGGACCGCAUGGUUUGAUGGCUAAAGAUUUAUUGCUUGGGGAUGGGCUCGCGUCCCAUUAGCUUGUUGGUGAGGUAACGGCUCACCAAGGCGAUGAUGGGUAGCUGGUCUGAGAGGAUGGUCAGCCACACUGGGACUGAGACACUGCCCAGACUCCUACGGGAGGCUGCAGUCGAGAAUCUUGGGCAAUGCGCGAAAGCCGUGACCCAGCAAUGCCGCGUGCGGGAUGAAGGUCUUCGGAUUGUAAACCGCUGUCACCCGGGACGAAAGUUGACUGUACCGGGGGAGGAAGCCACGGCUAACUACGUGCCAGCAGCGGC
rnacentral:rRNA from 1 species